GAAAAUGACGGGAGAGGUAAAAUUCCAUGAUCGCCAUAAGAUGCACGAGAGCGAAAGCAUUUCACUCAAUUGCGUUCAUUAAUCAAGAACGAAAGUUAGGGGAUCGAAGACGAUUAGAUACCGUCGUAGUCCUAACUAUAAACGAUGUCAACCAAGGAUUGGAUUAGUUUUAGAGUGACAGAAGUCCGGUAACGCUGUUACUGGGCUGACGGAUCUCGCUUCCACCUUAUUCAGAACUUAAAGAGAAAUCUUGAGUUUAUGGACUUCAGGGGGAGUAUGGUCACAAGGCUGAAACUUAAAGGAAUUGACGGAAGGGCACACCAGGAGUGGAGCCUGCGGCUUAAUUUGACUCAACACGGGAAAACUUACCAAGACCGAACAGUAUUAGGAAUGACAGAUUAAGGGUUCUUUCAUGAUUUAUUGGGUAGUGGUGCAUGGCCGUUCUUAGUUGGUGGAGUGAUUUGUCAGGUUAAUUCCGGUAACGAACGAGACUGAAGCCUAUUAAUUAGUUUCUCGCCUAUAAGACGAGAAUGUCCGUAUGGAUGGAUGCUUUUGCAUCACUUCUUAAAGGGACUAAUAUCAAUUGUUUCUCGGUUGAUCAGUGCGACCAUCUCGAUGGUACCUUUUCAAUCGGAAAAAAAGAUAAUGGAAGCAUUCAGCAAUAACAGGUCUGUGAUGCCCUUAGACAUCUUGGGCUGCACGCGCGCUACAAUGGAGAUACUAGCGAGUAUUUGUCGGGAAUGCUCGGUUUAUCGGCUCUGUCGGUGAAUCGAGAUUUUCUCCGGUGUACCGAGACUGAAAUAGUUUAGGAAAACUCAAAAGAUCGUACAUGACAGGGAUAAAUGAUUGGAAUUAUUUG
rnacentral:rRNA from 1 species